UUUGUCUCUCACCUAGGAUUCCAGAACAAUGCGACAUGAACAUGUGGGUCUCACAUGAAUGUGGAGGACCCGUCGGACUCUGGGAGGAGGCCACCAAGGGAGAGGGUACUCCAACAGGCAGAAGCACCAGGAGGAAAGCAGCUGCCUUGUGAUUAUGAGGUACUGACAUGGGGACAAAAUACCAACAAUGUGGGGACCCAGCAGAAAGACAUAAAGAGCCUGGGUCUUGGAGGAUGCUGAACUGUUGAAUAAACCCUGGAACCUCCUCCUUCCCAUCUUUGGUUAAAUAAAAUAAUAAAUAUCUACAUCAUUUAAACCAUCGGGUUUCUGUCUCUUACAAUCAAAAGCAUUCUGUCGGAUUUUGUUUUUUUGAGAUGGGGUCUCACUCUGUCACCCAGGCUAGUGUGCAGUGGCAUGAUCUUGGCUCACUGCAACCUCCACCUCCCCAACUCAAGCAAUCCUUCCAACUCAGCCUCCUGAGUGGCUGGGACCACAGGCCAAAGCAUUCUUAACAUGCUAAAGCAGAGUGGUUUUUUCCCUUGUAAGUAACUUUUAAAACUUCAACCAUGUCCUGUGCCAAGGACCAGGGUUACAACAGUGAACCACACAACAUUUCUGCCUUCUUGGGGUUUUCUAGUCUAGUAAAGGAGAUGACAAGGCACAAUCAAGUAUUGACACACCAGAUCAAUCACUAAGCAGGGGUGAUUAGCUCUAUUCUUGGUGUUCCUACUGGCAAAUCAUGAAAUCUCCAGUGGCAAGUCUUUGAAACAUGAGGGUUCAUUACUUUCUGAGAGACAGACAAGUGCAAAAAAACACUAUAAAAGACUAAUGCUGGGCCGGGCAUGGUGGCUCAUGCCUGUAAUCCCAGCACUUUGGGAGGCCAAGGCAGGCGGAUCAUGAGGUCAGAUCGAGACCACCGUGAAACCCUGUCUCUACUAAAAAUACAAAAAAUUAGCCGGGUGUGGUGGCAGGUGCCUGUAGUCCCAGCUACUCGGGAGGCUGAGGCAGGAGAAUGGCGUGAACCCAGGAGGCAGAGCUUGCAGUGAGCCAAGAUCACACCACUGCACCCCAGCCUGGGUGACAGAGCGAGACUCCAUCUCAAAAAAAAAAAAAAAAAAAAAAGACUAAUGCUGAAAGGCAGACAUAUAGACCUGAGUUCAAGUCUCAACUCUACCAUUUACCAAAUGUGUGACUUUGGGCAAGAUUCUUGACACCUGCUAGGGGGAAAAAUGCAAUUUG